GAAAAGAUCGAGUGCAAUUCAGACACCGGAGCGAAUCUCUCAUUGCUCUACAACUCUGAAGGCCGCGUGGCUUCGCCGGAAGCUUCAGAACACACUUGCCUGAGAAAGACCUUCCGGUUACGUUGCUUUGGAUGGACAUCGACGAGGAUCAGAUCGUGGAAUUUCAACGUAUAAUCGCUUGGUUGCAAUUCUUCAGCUCGGUUAUAGGCGUUUAUGUGUUUACUUCGACUUUUUCUGAUGCAGAUUAAUCUCUCUUAUUUUAAAGCUUCUGUUCCCAAAAUCUCUGUGAUUGACGGAUAGCGGGCUGAUACAUAUUUCUUUUGUCUCUUGUUUCCAAUAUAAGCAGUCGUAAUCGUUAAUUCUUACGGUUGCCUUCGGCUCUUUUAUCCUCUAGUUUUUGUGUUCCGUUGUUGAGCUCGAUGGGCGUGAACCAUGUUACCGUACAUGAAGGGGCUUUCUCCAGAGUCUAGAUGCAGAGAGUUAUUAGAGCUUUGGAGUUCCCGUGGACACUGCUAGAUAGUUAUAGUACCGCCUAGUGGAUAGUCGCCGUGGAUUGAGAAACGUUUAUCACGUGAAGUGGAAACAGAUGGUAUGUACUAGAUUCUGCUUUCUUCGUUCUCUCUUUAUUCAUAGUUUUCUAUUUUAUGAUUUGCUUGCAUUUUUAUAAAGAGUUCAUAUCACACACGAAUAGGCAUUGAAGGUGUAAAUGUUCCCUAGUGCUCUAUUUGUACUUCUCUUCUUGGAUUCGGAGGGCUUCUGUGCUUUCGUCUCUUUGGAGGGAGACAGGGAGUGAUAGAGGGGUUAUGAAUCUUGAGCGCCGGCAUGGGAACGCAGGACACUUUGAGACAUGAACAGAGCACAAUCUAAAACAUAAUGGGGCGCAGAUUUAGGCUUGUGAUACUUGAGCGUGUGUUUGCCCGCGUCAACGUAAAUGGAUAAGUGAGACAGAAACUACCAAUUAGUUUCUGGAAAUAAUCAAAAUAUCUCUAGGAUUUGUUUUUGCUAUGCGUAACUAGAGAUUGAAUCACGGCCAAAAUUAAUCUAUAAGCAUAUACAGGUGUGCACGUAUAAACCUACCAUUCUAUCCGCUUAUGUAGAAAUUCUGUCUCAGCUGCUUUACUAUGUGGAUUCCAACACUUUAUGCUGCAGUUUUACCAAAGCAAACGAUUUUGAACGGUAAGGGGCACUGGACAUAUCAAUGACAGUGAGACAGCACUUGAUAAUCCUUCUAAAAUUGAAUCAAAGCGACCUCAUCAAUGGUUUGUUGAUGGUGCUGUAGUAGAUUUUCUUCCAAACAAGAAAAAAGCAGUAGAAGAUGAAGAUGGAAAAUCAGGUUCAGGAAUUUCAAAUAUAAUGUUUUCUCAUUGGGAGAUCAAUCUUAAUUUUAACUCAGUUCCUAGCCAAUUUAUCAGCCCACUAUUUGGAUCUGAAUAUAGGCCUGUCAAUUUUGAGAAAAGAAAUAGUUCUUAUGCUGUGGAUGAUAAUUCUAAUGUGAGGACGAAAAUGAUAAGCAAUAGAGAGAAGAUUCAUCUGAAGAAACUGAAGCAUGUCUAAGUUUCCUUCGAUGGAAUAAAAGAAGCCAAAGUUGAUCAGGUUGAGGGUUCUGAUAGUGUACAGGCUGGUGCCAGACAUGGCUUGAUCAGGCAGAAUAACAGUGAUCUACAUCAGGCCUGUAUCAGUGAAGCUGAGAUAGGCUGUAUGUCAAUAGGGCAAGCUCUUGAUAGAGGCAGUAAUGUCACUCUCAUGAAACUUUCCUCCAACAGGGCGGAUGCCCAUGUUAGAUUAUUGGGUGAGGCCUAUGGUAAAGGUGAUGAUUAUGCCAUAUCAGUAGGUGAUUCCUAUAAUAAAGAGGGCACAGAUACAAUAUCCUUUUGUGGGUUCCCAGAUGAACAGGAUAUUCUCCCUGUGGGCAGGCCCUCUGGGGACUUUGAUCCUUUAUAUAAUCUAUCUUCGGUUCAAGUAUCCAAAACAGCUAAUGAGAAAGAGUAGUUGAAUGCUUCAAAUUCCAAUGAAAUUGUAAAUAUUCCCCGGGUAGAUAAACUAAAGUCUGAACUUGUUUCCAAGAAUAAACAGGAGUUCAAAGCAGCAAAGAACGAAUCUCCGAACAGCUUCCCUUCCGAUGUCAUAGGCUUGAUAUCCACUGGUAUGCUUGAUGGCGUUCCUGUAAAGUAUGUCUUGGGCAACCCGGGAGGAGUGAAGGAACUUAGGGGAAUUAUAAAAGCUUCUUGAAAUUUAAUACUGCCUACUCAACACAUGACUUGUGUAUUCAAGUUCUGAAUGCUUUGGAGUUUGAGAGACACGCUGGUUGCAAAAUAAAACAUCCAAACAAUCACAUUUAUUUUGAGAACGGGAAGACCAUCUAUCAGAUUGUACAGGAGCUGAGGAGUACCCAUGAAAGUUUGUUGUUUGAUGCAAUUCAAACAGUUUUCGGUGCACCGGUUAAUCAGAAAGCGUUUCGCAGUUGGAAAGAAUCUUUCCAAACAGCCACAUACGAGCUCCAACGUAUUUAUGGAUAGAAAGAACUGAAUACAUGAGUAACAACCCUUGGACGAAAUAUUAUUAUGGUUAAACUUUCUUUUGCGCGCAGGAAGCUAUAUCAAUAUGUAGUUUUCUUUUUUCUUUUCACUUCUUUUGUUCUGGCGCGCCAACCCAAUUGCAUACCAUAUACGGCCUAGUUUAAUAGAUGGGAUGCCACUCGUUAGUUUUUGUACAAUUUGAGGGCGAAGGAUUAUCGGGAAAAGUAUCGACCAGGAAAGCUCGUUUUCUUUUCAACUAGAAAAGCAGCAAAAACAUCAUGACUUGUAUUAAGUUGCUGGUUCGGAUUCACCUCGAAAACGAAAGAUAAAUGAUAUAUGUCACCGAAUUUCCGUUA